UGCAAGUCGAACGAGAUCUUCGGGUCUAGUGGCGCACGGGUGCGUAACGCGUGGGAAUCUGCCCUUUGGUUCGGAAUAACAGUUGGAAACGACAGCUAAUACCGGAUGAUGACGAAAGUCCAAAGAUUUAUCGCCAGAGGAUGAGCCCGCGUAGGAUUAGCUAGUUGGUGUGGUAAAGGCGCACCGAGGCGACGAUCCUUAGCUGGUCUGAGAGGAUGAUCAGCCACACUGGGACUGAGACACGGCCCAGACUCCUACGGGAGGCAGCAGUGGGGAAUAUUGGACAAUGGGCGAAAGCCUGAUCCAGCAAUGCCGCGUGAGUGAUGAAGGCCUUAGGGUUGUAAAGCUCUUUUACCCGGGAUGAUAAUGACAGUACCGGGAGAAUAAGCUCCGGCUAACUCCGUGCCAGCAGCCGCGGUAAUACGGAGGGAGCUAGCGUUGUUCGGAAUUACUGGGCGUAAAGCGCACGUAGGCGGCUUUGUAAGUUAGAGGUGAAAGCCUGGAGCUCAACUCCAGAACUGCCUUUAAGACUGCAUCGCUUGAAUCCAGGAGAGGUGAGUGGAAUUCCGAGUGUAGAGGUGAAAUUCGUAGAUAUUCGGAAGAACACCAGUGGCGAAGGCGGCUCACUGG
rnacentral:rRNA from 1 species